GCUUCCCUUGUUCUUCAAUGU
rnacentral:misc_RNA from 1 species